rnacentral:piRNA from 1 species
UAGUCCCUUGACACUGGCCACUGG